GCUUAACCGAAGAAGGGCAUCGGAAACUGGAUGACUUGAGUGCAGAAGAGGGCAGUGGAACUCCAUGUGUAGCGGUGGAAUGCGUAGAUAUAUGGAAGAACACCAGUGGCGAAGGCGGCUGCCUAGUCUGCAACUGACGCUGAGGCUCGAAAGCAUGGGUAGCGAACAGGAUUAGAUACCCUGGUAGUCCAUGCCGUAGACGAUGAGUGCUAGGUGUUGGAGGGUUUCCGCCCUUCAGUGCCGCAGCUAACGCAAUAAGCACUCCGCCUGGGGAGUACGACCGCAAGGUUGAAACUCAAAGGAAUUGACGGGGGCCCGCACAAGCGGUGGAGCAUGUGGUUUAAUUCGAAGCUACGCGAAGAACCUUACCAGGUCUUGACAUCUUGCGCUAACCUAAGAGAUUAGGCGUUCCCUUCGGGGACGCAAUGACAGGUGGUGCAUGGUCGUCGUCAGCUCGUGUCGUGAGAUGUUGGGUUAAGUCCCGCAACGAGCGCAACCCUUGUUACUAGUUGCCAGCAUUCAGUUGGGCACUCUAGUGAGACUGCCGGUGACAAACCGGAGGAAGGUGGGGACGACGUCAGAUCAUCAUGCCCCUUAUGACCUGGGCUACACACGUGCUACAAUGGACGGUACAACG
rnacentral:rRNA from 1 species